AUUGCUUCUCGGCCUUUUGGCUAAGAUCAAGUGUAAUUUGACAUUAGCACCAUUUGUUAAUUAGUGAUUUUUUUAUCUUGUGCAAUUAUAGCUCUAUUCAGAAAAUUUUUUAUCUAUGCUGUCAGAGUUUUACAUAGUUUUUCUUCCAGCAGAAUAAUG
rnacentral:snRNA from 1 species